UUCCGCGCACUAUAAACGUAGAACGAAGUUACGUUAUGACGAAUCGAAUUUCACAUCGACCAAAUGCGGCGACUCCAAUUAUCCUUUUUUGUUCUUCUCUGUUUUUAAAACGAUUAACCCCGAGGGACACUAAAGGAAAAUUUGCCAUCUCGUUCGGUUCGACUCGUGAAUUUUCGCGAGGUCGUCGCGAACAAAAAGUGUCAUUUGCAACAUUCAAGAGAACGAGAUGAAAGAUACAGCUUUUGUCCCAAAAGAAAAUUGAGUUAUUUUCGCAAUUACGUAACCACUCACAUUACCACUUGAUCUUCCAAAUGGUCCAUAAAUCCAAUACACCCAAAAGACAGCAUCUCAAAAUCCCAUAUAUUCCUCUAAUCAAAGUCCAGAAUCCCAAAACAAGCGUCCAGUACAAAUAACACGUUGCCAGAAGUUAAUUGACGUCUGGUCGAGUUUCUUCGAAGAAUUUGAAAAAAAAAAGAUUAACAAGUCCCAAUUGAUCGAUUGUUCCAAUAUGAUCAUAGGCGACCCAGUAUAAACAAGCGUAUGGGGUAUCGAUUAUGCUGUCAUUAUAUCAUCUGGUGUGAGGGACUAAAAAAAGAGUAAUAACAAGAAUCCAUCACGUGUAAUGAUAAAUAGCGAAACACAUUUUGAGGUUGGGUAUACUUAGACUGAUAGUCUUAUACAUAUAUGUACCGGGUGGCUCGAGCGUCUUCGACACUUCGAAACAUUUCGAGUUACCGAGACCACUGCUCUCAGAGCUUCAAGAGACGGGUUGGUCAAUUUGAUCAGGAUCGACCUAAUUUUACGAGCCAUCAAUGAAAUUUCGCCAAGUCAAGUCAAGGUUUUUACGGAUGAACGCGUGAGAAAUCAGUCGAAAUUGGCGGCUGAUGUGGGAUUCGGUUUACGGGCGACACAAUGGACCGAGAAGUGUAUCCUGGGAUGAUAGAUGAUCAGGACUACCAACAGUCAGGAAUUGAUCCUUUUCUCAAUGAAACCAUUGCUUUUGUGGAAUUCGCGUAAAUUCAUUGUUUCGAUUUAUCAAUGUUACUCGUGAAAGUUCUACUUUUUAAUUGGAUGGUGCACGACACUUUUUUUAUAUCGGCGACAGUCCCUAAUAUUCAAGGUGUCGUAUUUGGAAAUUUAAUAAAAAAAAAUUUUAAUCGCAACGUCGGUCAAAGGUCGUUGGUAGACAAUGGUAGACAUUUUUUAAAAAUGAUAUGUUUUUACUAUUAUUUUAUUUUCAUUGUCACUCCUGAUUCGGGUCAUUUUCGAAAAUUCUAGAUUUGCGCAUCCGGUCAAAGUGACAGUAAAGCGUCGGGACGACCCCUCGACGCCGUCGUUUAUUAGUACCUCGGGGUUAAAUACUCUUACAAGUUGAAGGUCAAAAGUAAUUUUGCGUCACGACUAUAGAAUUAUAACGUAAUG